GCCGAUGUGGUGGAAUUGGUAGACACGCAGUCCUAAGAAGGCUGUGACGCGAGUCGUGCCGGUUCGACUCCGGCCAUCGGCA
rnacentral:tRNA from 1 species